rnacentral:rRNA from 1 species
CGAACUCCGAAUGGCGGGUGAAGUAUAUGCGGCAGUGAGGGCUUGGGUGCUAAGGUCCAAGUCCGAGAGGGAAAGAACCCGGACCAUCAGCUAAGGUCCCCAAAUCUGUGUUAAGUUGAACAAAGGCGGUGCGGUUGCAGUGACAGCCAGGAUGUUGGCUUGGAAGCAGCCAUUCAUUCAAAGAGUGCGUAACAGCUCACUGGUCAAGUGUUCGGGCGCGGAUAAUGUAACGGGGCUCAAGCUAUGCACCGAAGCUGCGGGUUCGAUCUUUCGAGAUCGAGCGGUAGGAGAGCGUUCCCUCGGCAGUGAAGCGGCGGUGGAAACCAGCCGUGGAGCCGUGGGAAGUGAGAAUGCCGGCAUGAGUAACGAAAGAAGGGUGAGAAUCCCUUCCACCGAUUGCCUAAGGAUUCCUGGGUAAAGUUCGUCUGCCCAGGGUUAGUCAGGACCUAAGGCGAGGCCGAAAGGCGUAGUCGAUGGCCAACAGGUUGAUAUUCCUGUACCACGUCGUGAUCGCUUGACCGAUGGGGGGACGGGGAAGGCUACGGGAACCCAGGCGAUGGUAGUCCUGGGGUAAGCGUGUAGGGGAGCCCCUUGUAAAAUGCGGGAGCUCAUAACCUGAGACGCGAUGCCAGCUGGCUUACGAGCCGGCGAGUCCCUUACGCCAUGCCUCCAAGAAAAGCCCCUAGGGAGAACACGCGUGCCUGUACCAAAACCGACACAGGUGGGCAAGUAGAAAAUACUAAGGUGAUCGAGAUAACCCUCGUUAAGGAACUCGGCAAAAUUUGCCCCGUAACUUCGGAAGAAGGG